rnacentral:tRNA from 1 species
GGCGCGGGAUUUGCGCGUUCGGCUAUCGGAACAGGACUUAAAAUCCUGCGGUAGGUGACUACCGUACCGGUUCGAGCCCGGUCCUCGGCA